rnacentral:lncRNA from 1 species
UUGGUUUUUACUCUUCCACCCUUCCUUCUCACAAAACCUAUCCAGUAUUUCUCCUCAACAUACAUAUGGCGAAGCAGAUGACGCCCAUAGAUAAUCAAAACUGUACAUAAACCUUGGUGUUAGACGAAAGAUUGAACUAUUAUUUGAUUUUCAAGAUACUUAUUUAACGGUGUAAACUAUAACUUGAAAAAAAAAAUCUAUUUUAGAAUAUUAAGACGAUGAACCUGAAACUUUUUGUGAAAAAUCACCAUUCAUACAGUAGUCUUGAAAGCGUAUGAGCAACAAGCCAUGAAAAAUACGAGAAAAUCAAGGUUAAAACCGCAGACCUCGUGCAAAACUGCAAAUGCAAACGAGAUGAAAGGGGACAGUAGUAGUUUCUUCGCAUGCAACGAAGGCCACACAGCAUGCCGAGCAUUCAACAACAAAAUCAAAUAGACAACCUGAAGUGAUGAUCCAAUCGUUUGCGAUAGAUACAUAGAUAUAGAUAACUGAUUCAUGGUAGAUAGAUAGAUCCAUGCCUGCCUCAUCAAGCGAACCGGCGAAACAAAAGAGAAACCACCAACUCGGACUCCCAUUACAUGGAUCCAUAUCUUCUUGCUACGACCGAACAACUACGAGCCUACUGAGUACUGAUAGGUUGGAAUCACCCGCUGCUGAGUGAGUCGGGGAGGGAGGGACACGGCCAGACGGGGAGGGGAGCAGAAGGCAUCAGGGACGGGUUCAGAUCUGACGCCGUGCAGCGCGCGCCUAGUAGUUCUUGUUGGGGCACUCGCGCGAGAAGUGGCCGGACUCGCCGCAGCUGUAGCAACNNN